rnacentral:rRNA from 1 species
GCAGUGGGGAAUAUUGCACAAUGGGCGCAAGCCUGAUGCAGCCAUGCCGCGUGUAUGAAGAAGGCCUUCGGGUUGUAAAGUACUUUCAGCGGGGAGGAAGGCGACAGGGUUAAUAACUCUGUCGAUUGACGUUACCCGCAGAAGAAGCACCGGCUAACUCCGUGCCAGCAGCCGCGGUAAUACGGAGGGUGCAAGCGUUAAUCGGAAUUACUGGGCGUAAAGCGCACGCAGGCGGUCUGUUAAGUCAGAUGUGAAAUCCCCGGGCUUAACCUGGGAACUGCAUUUGAAACUGGCAGGCUUGAGUCUUGUAGAGGGGGGUAGAAUUCCAGGUGUAGCGGUGAAAUGCGUAGAGAUCUGGAGGAAUACCGGUGGCGAAGGCGGCCCCCUGGACAAAGACUGACGCUCAGGUGCGAAAGCGUGGGGAGCAAACAGGAUUAGA